UAGUACCUGUGAAGAUGCAGGUUACCCGCGACAGGACGGAAAGACCCCGUGGAGCUUUACUGUAGCCUGAUAUUGAAAUUCGGCACAGCUUGUACAGGAUAGGUAGGAGCCUUUGAAACGUGAGCGCUAGCUUACGUGGAGGCGCUGGUGGGAUACUACCCUAGCUGUGUUGGCUUUCUAACCCGCACCACUUAUCGUGGUGGGAGACAGUGUCAGGCGGGCAGUUUGACUGGGGCGGUCGCCUCCUAAAAGGUAACGGAGGCGCUCAAAGGUUCCCUCAGAAUGGUUGGAAAUCAUUCAUAGAGUGUAAAGGCAUAAGGGAGCUUGACUGCGAGACCUACAAGUCGAGCAGGGUCGAA
rnacentral:rRNA from 1 species